CGCGGCCUAUCAGCUUGUUGGUGAGGUAAUGGCUCACCAAGGCUUCGACGGGUAGCCGGCCUGAGAGGGCGACCGGCCACACUGGGACUGAGAUACGGCCCAGACUCCUACGGGAGGCAGCAGUGGGGAAUAUUGCACAAUGGGCGCAAGCCUGAUGCAGCAACGCCGCGUGCGGGAUGACGGCCUUCGGGUUGUAAACCGCUUUCAGUAGGGACGAAGCUAACGUGACGGUACCUACAGAAGAAGGACCGGCUAACUACGUGCCAGCAGCCGCGGUGAUACGUAGGGUCCGAGCGUUGUCCGGAAUUAUUGGGCGUAAAGGGCUUGUAGGCGGUCCGUCGCGUCAGGAGUGGAAACUCGGGGCUUAACCCCGAGCCUGCUUUUGAUACGGGCGGACUAGAGGGAUGCAGGGGAGAACGGAAUUCCUGGUGGAGCGGUGGAAUGCGCAGAUAUCAGGAGGAACACCGGUGGCGAAGGCGGUUCUCUGGGCAUCACCUGACGCUGAGAAGCGAAAGCGUGGGGAGCAAACAGGCUUAGAUACCCUGGUAGUCCACGCCGUAAACGGUGGGCACUAGGUGUGGGGGACAUUCCACGUUCUCCGUGCCGAAGCUAACGCAUUAAGUGCCCCGCCUGGGGAGUACGG
rnacentral:rRNA from 1 species